UUGCCACUGGCCAUGAACGUGAAGAACUGGAAGCUGAAUUGCAGGUUCGUGACUAGAUAUUCCUGGUAGAUGAUGGGCUGGAUCGAUAACCAGGAAGAAGAUUUCUUAUAUUUGGCAAAGUAGGUUCAAAAGGGAAUGGUGGAACAGAGUAAAAUAUGGACUUCUGUGAUAUUUGUUUACAUUGUUAUCUUUAGUGACGUUAACUAUUAGACAUAUAGUUUUGGGCUAAAUCUUGGGGACUGUAAUUAAAACCAUUGCGAUUGUUUCUUUCAUCCUUGCAUCAGGGCAUGUGUAUUCUUAUUUUGUCUGUAAACUAAAAAUUCUGCGUUUAAAGCGCCGUACUUUUCCAGGGAAAGAACCUUCUAGACAUCAACUUUCCUGUCAGUCCAUUUGGCACAAAGGUUAGUU
rnacentral:lncRNA from 1 species